rnacentral:rRNA from 1 species
CUUACCAAGGCGAUGAUGCAUAGCCGAGUUGAGAGACUGAUCGGCCACAUUGGGACUGAGACACGGCCCAAACUCCUACGGGAGGCAGCAGUAGGGAAUCUUCCACAAUGGACGCAAGUCUGAUGGAGCAACGCCGCGUGAGUGAAGAAGGUUUUCGGUAUCGUAAAGCUCUGUUGUUGGUGAAGAAGGAUAGAGGUAGUAACUGGCCUUUAUUUGUACGGUAAUCAACCAGAAAGUCACGGGCUAACUACGUGCCCAGCAGCCGCGGUAAAU